ACGCGGCCGCCAUGGCAGCUGCGGCCCGGAUUAGCGCUCACAAAGCCGCCCCGCCGCGCUCCGCGCCCGCGGCCUGCCCGGCCUCCGGAGACACCCAACGGGGCCUCCGGCACCCAGCACGGGCGAACCGGCAUUCCCGAGGGAUUCAUCACCUCGCUCCAGCCCGCGGCUCUGUGCAGGGACACAUUCCAGUUUGAAGCCAUUCCCCCAUGUCCUGUAAAUGAUCACCCCCAAGAUCCUGGUACCUUGAGCUAGAGGAAUCAAGACAGGAUGACUUGGUGCCCCCUGCUUUCUAGAUCCUAAGUGUUCCUGUGCCUUCCCUGGACAGGCAGGAGGAAAGAGGAGCAAUGUUUGUCCUGCCAGGUGCUAAUAAACUGUGAGGCUACUUGGAAGAAAAGUGAACAGAGUUCACUCAGAGAAAGCCCUUUCCUCAGAGGAUAAGUCCCCCAAAUAAAUGCUUUAAAAGGAGUUCGUUUUCACACAGUCCCAAUGCAAUUCUAGAAGUACCACUACACACAAAUUACUAGGAAAAUGUCUGUCUGAAAAAAACGUUUUCUGAGAUGAGGAUACCAUGACUGCAGCUUCAGCACCUCUCACUUAAAGGUGCCAUAAUCACAAAUGAUGCAUCCAGCCUUGGCCAAAAUAUCUGAGGAUUUUCAGAAGUUUAAUUCCACUCUAAUAUCUUUCAAUUUUCCUGCUUCAUUCUUAGUUAUCUGCCAUGGGGGAAGCCAAUGACAUCUUCAUGCAGAUUUAAUAAAAUAAUAAUUUUCAAUACCAGUUUGAUAGGAAAUGUUGGAUGCACUUUCACAAAGGUAGAUUUUGAAAGUUUUAAAUAUUCAAGCAGAGGGUUUGUGGAGAUGGACAUCUUCCACCUGAACUGCAAAUAAAAAUAUCUGAGCUGGUCCUAGAAGGAAUCACAGCAACAUUUUUGUAGUAAAGUUUGGCAGAAAAAUACUAACUGUUGAGACAGCUUCCAUGUGGAAAAUAGAAACCAAACUAUCUAGAAACCAGUCAGCCAUCCUGUCAAGAGACAGACAGCAUUAACAGCCCUGUGAGGGUCUCCCAGCUGCACAAACAGGACAGGCCAGUUCCAGGGAGGAGGAUGCAUGGACAAAGAGCCUGGCUCCAGGGAGCAGGUGGGCUGUGCCAUUAGGACCCUUCUUAGCCCACUCUGCAGACCCACUCACAGAACCCUGGGAGUGAGACUUGGCCAAGGGGACAGAGCCUGCUCCGUGCCACAGGAGAGCAGAACAGCCUGUCCAGGUGUCCUUGCCCGCUCUCACACAGGCAAAUAUCAGAUGAACCCCAGAAGACCUGAGUGACCAUUAGUGCCAGAGUGGUUUUGGCUGUGUGCCUACCAGAUGCGGAGCACAGAGAACCCUUUGUUCCAGAGGCAUUGUUACCACAGGCCAAACUGCUACUGCCACAAGAGAGGUGAUCAGAUUCCCCUUCUCCUCCCCUCCCCAUCUGUUCAUGGCAACCAUGUUAUGUGUGAGAAUUUACAUAAAUUGCCCUCUGAUCUGUGGAAGAAAAUCCAAAAUCCAGUUUGGAAAUCCACAGCAGGUUGACAAGUAGCUUUGAUCCCUGAAAUUUCCAGAGAGAGGCAGAUUAAGGAUUAAUUAAUUAACAUUCUCCCAAUCCAAAGUGAGGAAAAUCAUGGCCACUGUAAGCACAGAAACAAGUCUUCCUUAAAGACAUAUGCCAUCAGUAUCUGAAGGUUUUCCCAUUAGUUGGCAGGGAAAACUCAUUUCAUACACCUAAGUCAACCACUCCAUUCUUCUGGCAGGAGUACAUGAGCAUGCAUUUAUGACAGACUACAGACCUCAUCUGAUCCAGCACCUCAGAUACUGUGAUCUUCCCUCAUCACAACAGUAACAGCCAUCACCCCAGUGAGACCUCAGGACCUCUCAGGUCCACAAUUUGGAUGGAGUAUUAGAUGGCAGCCUAAAGGUCAGAACCCUCUCAGACCCCAGAUCUUUUUUCUUGCUAGCUUCCAGGGUAUUUUUAGAGAGGAGAUCUCUCUCUCCCUGGGCAAGAGCUGCCUCACAGAGAGGCCAAGCUUUCAUGACCGACUCAUCCACACACAAUUACCUCAGGCCCAGUGAGAGAUGCAGACUGGUUUUAAGCACUUUCCAAGCACCCUUGGUGCUGCAACUGAUUAGUGAGUCAUGCAAAGACGUCACUGUGAAUGUAUUUCCUGCACUGCAGCUUCACCAAAUAUAAAAGCACACAACAAAACCAUGAGUUCAAAAACCUGAUUUGGGUGCAGGCCCCCACUUCUUCCAGGAUCUCUGCACUUCUAGUUUCUGUUAAGAUAGCUUCUCUCCUGAUGACAAACAAAAGACCAGCUGCAUCAAGUUAGAGCAUAGCUCUGCCUUGCCCAAAAUCUCCCAAGAUACCAACCAACAGACAAUUCUGGAAGAACAUAAAGAUAAGGUAAGGAUAUUACCACAGAGCCCAGAACACUACAUCCCCAUCCAAGCUAUUUGUGAUUUGGAGAUUUUCUGAAUUCAAAGGGGUGUCUGUGUAUGUUAAAAGACCUUCCAUGAAUUUACCCAAUCAUUUUGGAGCCUAUGUAAAUUUUAGCAACAAUAUCCUGCGGCAAAGAUUUCACAGUGUAGAUAUGCUCCAUGAUAAAAUUACUUUAUUUGUUCUAAGCUUCCUCCAAUCUUGCAAUUUAUAUGACUUUCUCUACCACAAAACUUCAUCAGACUAACUCUUGCAUUAGAAAGAUGAUCUGAGUUUUUUCAGUUUUGAUUUGAAACAAAUAACCUUGCUGACAAGAUCAGAGACCCAACAGUCCACAGAAAUUACUCUGAUGGACAACUCCUUUUCCUCCCCAAAAAUAAUACAGAACAACAUGUUCCCACAGGUCGAAGUAGCAAAGGAGGAAGCUGCAACUUGAGCUCCUCUGGCAUUCUCAUACAUGUUGAACUAGACAGAAGACUAGCUGUGCCUGAGGUGGUAGAUGCAAGACACCUUCCUCCUCUCUUUCUGUGGCAGGUUUCAGUGAGGGUGGUAGCCUGAAUCUAGAGAAGCUGUUGAAAUAAUUCCUUUUGCUGUCUAAACAUCUUCAACACUAUCCAACUUAAGCCAAACUACUUGGCUACACAUACUGUGAAUGAAAGUCUUUCCAGGACUUCUGUCCUACAGUUGAAAAAAUAAUCUCCUUUAGAAAGCAUGUGCGUGGCCUGAGCUGGAUCUCAGAGAGACUCAAGUUCUGGAACCAGAGAGGUGUUUUCUAGAGAUCCCGCUAUGCUCAAAGCCCUCGCAGCUGCACCUGACAAACCACAGCCAGCUUGAGAUCACUUGUCAGCCUCUCUCUCUCUGUACUAAAAAAAAAAAAAAAAACAAAACCCAAAAAACCAACACCUUUGUAUUUUCUUUCUCAGGAAAACAGCGGCCCAUAUAUUUUAGUCAGAGUUUUGGAAAGGAAAAAACCCAAAAGUGAUUCAUCUUUGAAGCAGAGACACACUGUAUUUGGGAUCCUCUUUGAAGCUUCACCUUUUGUGCCUGUUAAAACCAAGUUUUGAUAUGAAGAACUGGGGUGUCAGUCUCUCCCUUUCUUGCUUUAUCACUAAGUAAUAGUCAUGGAUUUCCUUUUCAGUCAUUUUCACCUUUUUUUUUGCCACUUCCAUUUUACAAAGGUGAGAGAAGGUUUUGGACACAACGAGCAAAGAAAACAAAACAAAACAAAAAUAAGAGAAUAAGCAGAAAUGUCAAAAUGGAAAAAUCACAUUUGUGACUUUUGUCUAAUGAAAUAGAAAACUAUUUCCUUUGCAGCACAACUAAACUUCCAUUUUUUCCCUGCUAAUGGACGUAGGAGGUGUGCUGCCUCUGACCCGAGAUGCACCGACACCAACCACCUUGGCAGACUUGUGAGCUGCAGUUCACGGAUUUGAACUGGAGAGAACAUUAUGAUAAUCUAAUUUGACCUCAUCUGUUCUGCAGGCCAUAGCACUUCCUCUUGUAAUUCCUUCAGCAUGUACAUGCUUUCUAUCUGGGCUAAAAUAUAUUUUUCAAAAGCAUCUAUCCUAAUUUGAAGACCUUAAGUGGUGGCAAAUCUGAGACACACUCAGGCUUGUGGCCUGAGGGUGACAUAAAAACCUUCAUGCAAAAGCCAUACAGCAGCCUGGACUCCCCUGUCCUCACAAGCAAAGCACGAUCUCCCCCUGAAGCCAACAUCCAAACUGAGCUUGCCACUGCAUUCUCAACAACUGACUAAAACUCACCCCUGGAACCCCGGCACCUUGAGCUUGAGGGAUCGAGACAGGAUGACUUGGUGCUCUGGCUCUCUCCUCUCUAGAUCCUAAGUGUCCUGUGCCUUCCCUGGACAGGCAGGAGGAAAGAGGAGCAAUGUUUGUCCUGCCAUGUCCUAGGCAACUGUGGGGCCACUUCAAAGAGAAGGGAAUUGUUACAAAGCUCUUUCCUAAUAAGAUGCAGUGCUGGACCCAAAUGAAUUGGAAACUCUUAAUGAAAAAAAACAUUUUCUGGGAUGAGGAUACCAUGACUGAAGCUUCAGCACCUCUCACUUAAAGAUGCCAUAAAUCCAAGAGAUGAAGACCACUCGUGGUGCCUAGGACCCCCAUAAAGACAGGAUUCUAGGAGACUUCUGAAACCUGGGAGGCCCCAGCACAUCAUAAAGAGCCACCAAAAGAGACUGUGCAUCAAAAUCAUGUU